rnacentral:rRNA from 1 species
UUAGUGGCGAACGGGUGAGUAACACGUGGGCAAUCUGCCCUUCACUCUGGGACAAGCCCUGGAAACGGGGUCUAAUACCGGAUACCACUUGCACGGGCAUCUGUGCGGGUUGAAAGCUCCGGCGGUGAAGGAUGAGCCCGCGGCCUAUCAGCUUGUUGGUGAGGUAACGGCUCACCAAGGCGACGACGGGUAGCCGGCCUGAGAGGGCGACCGGCCACACUGGGACUGAGACACGGCCCAGACUCCUACGGGAGGCAGCAGUGGGGAAUAUUGCACAAUGGGCGCAAGCCUGAUGCAGCGACGCCGCGUGAGGGAUGACGGCCUUCGGGUUGUAAACCUCUUUCAGCAGGGAAGAAGCGCAAGUGACGGUACCUGCAGAAGAAGCGCCGGCUAACUACGUGCCAGCAGCCGCGGUAAUACGUAGGGCGCAAGCGUUGUCCGGAAUUAUUGGGCGUAAAGAGCUCGUAGGCGGCUUGUCACGUCGGGUGUGAAAGCCCGGGGCUUAACCCCGGGUCUGCAUUCGAUACGGGCUAGCUAGAGUGUGGUAGGGGAGAUCGGAAUUCCUGGUGUAGCGGUGAAAUGCGCAGAUAUCAGGAGGAACACCGGUGGCGAAGGCGGAUCUCUGGGCCAUUACUGACGCUGAGGAGCGAAAGCGUGGGGAGCGAACAGGAUUAGAUACCCUGGUAGUCCACGCCGUAAACGGUGGGAACUAGGUGUUGGCGACAUUCCACGUCGUCGGUGCCGCAGCUAACGCAUUAAGUUCCCCGCCUGGGGAGUACGGCCGCAAGGCUAAAACUCAAAGGAAUUGACGG